rnacentral:snoRNA from 1 species
UUUCUUUUCUCUUUGUGCGGAAAACCAGUACUAAAUAUACCGUGUUGCUUUUUAAUAUAAUAUAAGAAUUGGUAUGUCAACUUUUUCUUUUGAAUUAAAAGGCGUCAAGUACUUGGAGAGAUAAACCUUCUUUUUUAAGAGACCAUCUUAAUGCCCUUUCGUAUUAUUAUAUGUCGCGUUUAAUUUCUUUUAUGAGAUUAAACGUGUUGGAUUUUGCGAGGGAUGGUAGGUCAAACAUUU